CAAAAAUACCUCUAGGUGUUCCGGACACUAUGUGCCUAUAGCUGGCUACAGGAUCACAGCAGCCAAAAGCCCUCCAGGAAGAAGUAUGGAAGCAGCUUUAUUGAGGUUGCCAGCAAGGAUUACGGCUUCUUUGACGCAUGAACGUUUUGGAAUUUAUGAGGAUUUUAAUGAGGAUUUUCUGAAAAAAAUAAAAAUUGUUAUGUUCUGGGCAUUCAUCUAUCCUCUCAUCAGCUUUUGAUCUACCACAUCUUGGCUAAACUUUACCUCAGAUACUGCUGAUAUUUACUGAUACAAUUGGCUCUGGGUCGAACUUGAAGCUGCAGCAGAAGAAGAUAUGGAAAAACUAAAAUCUUCCUCAAGCAAAUAUUAGAGUAAUUG
rnacentral:lncRNA from 1 species